UACAGAGGUGGCAAGCGUUGUUCGGAAUUACUGGGCGUAAAGGGCGCGUAGGCGGCCUUGUAAGUCCCGUGUGAAAGCCCCCGGCUCAACUGGGGAAUUGCACGGGAAACUGCGGGGCUUGAGUUCGGGAGAGGGAAGCGGAAUUCCGGGUGUAGCGGUGAAAUGCGUAGAUAUCCGGAGGAACACCAGUGGCGAAGGCGGCUUCCUGGACCGACACUGACGCUGAGGCGCGAAAGCUAGGGGAGCAAACGGG
rnacentral:rRNA from 2 species